CAGCCGCCACGGGAAUACGAAGGGUGCAAGCGUUAAUUGGAAUUACUGGGCGUAAAGCGUGCGUAGGCGGUUUGUUAAGUCUGCUGUGAAAUCCCCGGGCUCAACCUGGGAAUGGCAGUGGAUACUGGCAAGCUAGAGUCUGGCAGAGGGGGGUGGAAUUCCGCGUGUAGCAGUGAAAUGCGUAGAUAUGCGGAGGAACACCGAUGGCGAAGGCAGCCCCCUGGGCCAACACUGACGCUCAUGCACGAAAGCGUGGGGAGCAAACAGGAUUAGAUACCCCAGUAGUCCCUGUCUCUUAUCC
rnacentral:rRNA from 1 species